ACCUUUUCAAAUCAGGGUGUCGGCGCGGCCCCCGAGGAGCGGAAAACAAUCCUUGGGAGGUAUGCGGGUGGCUUCGAGCCCACCCAUGUAUAGCUACGCAUCACGACUGCCAUCCUACUUACUUUACGAGCACCAUUCUGUUCUCCCUCGGUCGGGUGGCAACCUGCCGUUGUGGAUACCGAAUAAUACUCUUUUUGCAUCUAGCAUUACCUGUUCCGAACAACAAACAAUCUGUUAC
rnacentral:misc_RNA from 1 species